AUUGAACGCUGGCGGCAGGCUUAACACAUGCAAGUCGAACGAAGUUAGGAAGCUUGCUUCUGAUACUUAGUGGCGGACGGGUGAGUAAUGCUUAGGAAUCUGCCUAUUAGUGGGGGAUAACUUGGGGAAACCCAAGCUAAUACCGCAUACGACCUACGGGUGAAAGGGGGCUUUUAGCUCUCGCUAUUAGAUGAGCCUAAGUCGGAUUAGCUAGUUGGUGGGGUAAAGGCCUACCAAGGCGACGAUCUGUAGCUGGUCUGAGAGGAUGAUCAGCCACACUGGGACUGAGACACGGCCCAGACUCCUACGGGAGGCAGCAGUGGGGAAUAUUGGACAAUGGGCGAAAGCCUGAUCCAGCCAUGCCGCGUGUGUGAAGAAGGCCUUUUGGUUGUAAAGCACUUUAAGUGGGGAGGAAAAGCUUAUGGUUAAUACCCAUAAGCCCUGACGUUACCCACAGAAUAAGCACCGGCUAACUCUGUGCCAGCAGCCGCGGUAAUACAGAGGGUGCAAGCGUUAAUCGGAAUUACUGGGCGUAAAGCGCGCGUAGGUGGUUAUUUAAGUCAGAUGUGAAAGCCCCGGGCUUAACCUGGGAACUGCAUCUGAUACUGGAUAACUAGAGUAGGUGAGAGGGGAGUAGAAUUCCAGGUGUAGCGGUGAAAUGCGUAGAGAUCUGGAGGAAUACCGAUGGCGAAGGCAGCUCCCUGGCAUCAUACUGACACUGAGGUGCGAAAGCGUGGGUAGCAAACAGGAUUAGAUACCCUGGUAGUCCACGCCGUAAACGAUGAGUGCUAAGUGUUGGGGGCUUUCCGGCCCUCGGUGCUGGAGCUAACGUAUUAAGCACUCCGCCUGGGGAUUACGACCGCAAGGUUGAAACUCAAAAGAAUUGACGGGGACCCGCACAAGCGGUGGAGCAUGUGGUUUAAUUCGAAGCAACUCGAAGAACCUUACCAGCUCUUGACAUCUUCUGACAACUCUAGAGAUAGAGCGUUCCCUUCGGGGACAGAAUGACAGGUGGUGCAUGGUUGUCGUCAGCUCGUGUCGUGAGAUGUUGGGUUAAGUCCCGUAACGAGCGCAACCCUUGUUGUUAGUUGCCAGCAUUAAGUUGGGCACUUUAACGAGACUGCCGGUGAUAAACCGGAGGAAGGCGGGGAUGACGUCAAAUCAUCAUGCCCCUUAUGAGCUGGGCUACACACGUGCUACAAUGGAUGGUACAACGAGCAGCGAUCCCGCAAGGGCUAGCUAAUCUUUCAAAGCCAUUCUCAGUUCGGAUUGCACUCUGCAACUCGAGUGCAUGAAGUCGGAAUCGCUAGUAAUCGCGAAUCAGAAUGUCGCGGUGAAUCCGUUCCCGGGUCU
rnacentral:rRNA from 1 species